CCUACGGGAGGCAGCAGUGGGGGAUAUUGCACAAUGGGCGAAAGCCUGAUGCAGCGACGCCGCGUGAGGGAAGACGGUCCUACGGAUUGUAAACCUCUUUUGCCGGGGAGCAACGGGGUCCUUGCGAGGGCCCGAUGAGAGUACCCGGAGAAAAAGCAUCGGCUAACUCCGUGCCAGCAGCCGCGGUAAUACGGAGGAUGCGAGCGUUAUCCGGAUUUAUUGGGUUUAAAGGGUGCGUAGGCGGGCUGUUAAGUCAGCGGUCAAAUGUCGGGGCUCAACCCCGGCCUGCCGUUGAAACUGGCGGCCUUGAGUGUGCGAGAAGUAUGCGGAAGGCGGGGUGUAGCGGUGAAAUGCAUAGAUAUCACGCAGAACUCCGAUUGCGAAGGCAGCAUACCGGCGCCCGACUGACGCUGAGGCACGAAAGCGUGGGUAUCGAACAGGAUUAGAUACCCCAGUAGUC
rnacentral:rRNA from 1 species